rnacentral:rRNA from 1 species
ACCCUUUGUGACAUACCUAUAACUGUUGCUUCGGCGGGUAGGGUCUCCGCGACCCUCCCGGCCUCCCGCCUCCGGGCGGGUCGGCGCCCGCCGGAGGGUAACCAAACUCUGAUUUAACGACGUUUCUUCUGAGUGGUACAAGCAAAUAAUCAAAACUUUUAACAACGGAUCUCUUGGUUCUGGCAUCGAUGAAGAACGCAGCGAAAUGCGAUAAGUAAUGUGAAUUGCAGAAUUCAGUGAAUCAUCGAAUCUUUGAACGCACAUUGCGCCCGCCAGCAUUCUGGCGGGCAUGCCUGUUCGAGCGUCAUUUCAACCCUCAAGCUCUGCUUGGUGUUGGGGCCCUACAGCUGAUGUAGGCCCUCAAAGGUAGUGGCGGACCCUCCCGGAGCCUCCUUUGCGUAGUAACUUUACGUCUCGCACUGGGAUCCGGAGGGACUCUUGCCGUAAAACCCCCCAAUUUUCCAAAGGUUGACCUCGGAUCAGGUAGGAAUACCCGCUGAACUUAAG